GCAGCUUUGGUGGGCUCCGGCUUCCUUCACUCCAGCCCACCGCGUCCGAGAGACUUAGCAGGGCGUCAAACUGGAGAGCGGAAGGAUGGAACCUUUUAUUCUCAGGUGGAGAGGAUUAAGCUUUGCGGUGUUAGCAGAAAAUGAUCGAGCUCCAGAAAAUGAUUUGGAGGGUGAUCCCUUGGGGACUACGCUCCUUGAAACAAGGAGGACAGUGUAAGUAUGUGGUAAACAUUUGGUAAAUACGGUUAAUACUAGUUAACCUAUCCAGAAUUACAGUUUAACAUUUCCUGGGCGUCUGUCUGUAUGUGGAUGGUACUGUGUUAGUUGGGGGGGGUACGUGUAUAGUAAGGCAGUCUCUGCCCUUAGAAAGCUUACAGGCCUGGCUGGGCGCGGUGACUCACGCCUGUAAUGCCAGCACUCUGGGAGGCGUAGGCGGGCGAAUCACUUGAGGUCAGGAGUUCGAAACCAGCCUGGCCAACAUGGUGAAACCCUGUCUCUACUAGAAAUACAAAACAAGGCUGGGCACGGUGGCCCACGCAUGUAAUCCCAGCACCUUGGGAGGCCGAUGAGGGUGGAUCAUGAUGUCAGGCGAUAGAAACCAUCCUGGUCAACAUGGAGAAACCCCGUCUCUACUAAAAAUACAAAAAUUAGCCAGGCGUGGUGGCGUGCACCUGUAGUCCCAGCUACUCAGGAGCCUGAGGCAGGAGAAUCGCUUUUACCUGGGAGGCGGAGGUUGCAGUGAACCGAGAUCGCAUCUCGCCACUGAACUCCAGCCUGGGUGACAGUGAGAGUCCGUCUCAAAAAAAAAAAAAAAAAAAGAGUGGCAGAUAAGAAGUGCUCUUUAUGGAGAUAAUUUGGUGGUAAUGAAUAAAAAGACUCAGAAUUCCAAGCAGAAAACUACCAGAGAUGAACAGUCUAGCCGAGUCCUCUGCAAACGUUAGGUGGGAGAUAAUUAGGAUUUAACCUAGAAACGUAGUAGUUAAGAAUAGAAAAUAGUGAACCUAACCAAGAGAGUCUGUGACAAUGGAAUCCACUAGACUAGCAGCUGACUGAAUAGAGAAUGAGAAGACUGUGUGCCUCAAGGUGAUUAUUUAUAGAAACAAUAAAUUCAAGAAGAGGAGUCAAUUUGGGAAUGGAGCUGAAAAGCAGAGAGAAAAUAAGGCAUUCAGUUUUGAAAACAUGGACUUUUUUUUUUUUUUUUUUUUUUUUUUGAGACGGAGUCUCGCUCUGUCACCCAGGCUGUAGUGCAGUAGCACAAUCUCAGUUCCCUACAACCUCUGCCUCGCGGGUUAAAGUGAUUCUCCUGCCUCAGCCUCCCGACUACAGGUGUGCGCCACCAUGCCCGGCUGAUUUUUGUAUUUUUAGUAGAGACAGGGUUUCGCCAUGUUGGCCAGGCUGGUCUCAAACUCCUGAACUCAGGUGACCUGCCUGCCUCGGCCUCCCAAAUGCUGGGAUUACGGGCGUGAACCACCGUGCCCGGCCUGAAAACAUGGACUUUAUUAAAAGCGAAUGAACCAUUUGGUGGAGACAUCCAGGCAAUGAAGACUUAGGAUAAAUGACCUCUAAGAUCUCCAUAUCUGAAAUUUAAGGGUUCUAGGAAAUGUAAGUGUGGGAGUUUGGGAGAAAAGUAGACGCUGAAGAUGUACAAAUUUUGGACUUUUUCACAUAAAUGUAAGUAAAGUUGUGGAAGUUGAUGGGAUCACAAAGGAGAAUGUAGGAAAAAAAGAGGUUCCAGUCAGGUGCGGUGGCUUACACCUGUAAUCCCAACACUUUGAAUGGUCAAGGUGAGAGGAUCGCCUGAAGCCAGGAGUUUGAGGUUACAGUGAGCUAUGAUCAUGCCAUUGCACUCCAGCCUAGGCAACAGAGUGAACCCGUCUCUUAAAAAAAAAAAAAAAAAAAAAACUCCCAAGACAGAAACGUGGGGAAAAGUUGGCAAAAGACAUACAAAUGAUCAGAGUGGUAGGGAGAGAAUUAGAAGAGAGAAGAGCCAUGGAAAGCAAAUGAAGAAAGGGAGGGCAGGUUGUCAAUGUUAAAUGUGAUACAGAAAUUAAAGAUGGAGGUGAUAGAGGUCAAUCGCAAGACGUUAAGGAGCGAGGAGGUGGUACCAAUAUUGAACAGUGGUAGCAAUAUUUAACAGUAAAGCAAGGAAAGGGCAGAGCUGUAGCAGCAGAUUUUCUUUUGGGGAAUAGGCAAGACUCAAGCAUGUUUUUAGAAAAGGCGAAUGAGGCUGGAUGUGGUGGCUCACGCCUGUAACCCCAGCACUUUGGGAUUCAUCUAAAAGAUGAAUAAUUCUUUUGGGAAAUACUUUCUGAUCAAGCUAUUUCUAAUUCCAAGCUCUGCUUAAGAAUAAUGUGUAAAAACUAUGAUUGCUAAAGGAACGAUUGAUUUAAAUUAUACAUUUGUCCUUUUUUUUGAGACUGAGUUUAAUUCUUGUUGCCCAGGCUGGAGUGCAAUGAUGUGAUAUCUCGGCUCACUGCAACCUCCCCCUCCCAGGUUCAAGUGAUUCUCCUGCCUCAGCUGUGGGGAAAAGAAAGAGAGAUCAGACUGUUACUGUGUCUGUGUAGAAAGAAGUAGAUAUAAGAGACUCCAUUUUGUUCAUCUUGUGAGUCGAUGGCGCACGAUUGCGGUGUUUCUGUCUCCGUGGAGGUGCUUUUCUUUGCAUCUCCGAUGGGUUCAUUGUAGAACUUCAAAUGUCUAGUGGGUAUCCAAACAGGAAGCUGAUUUUCUCCUGGUGAAACACAAGCAAAACCUCUCCCCCAUGUUACCACCUUCCCUAUUUCCCAUGUCUUAUUUUUAUUAUCUUUCUACCAAAUCAGUUUUCCUUCAUGUGGGCUGUUCUUUUUACCAGUAAGAUGUUGUUCUGCAGAAGUAGUAGUCUGAUUUCUAUAAAUGUUUAAAAAAUAUAAAGUGCUAGAUUAAGUUGCAUCUGAGGCGUGGUACAUUCCUUACUGUCUCCCCCUUCUUUUUAUUUAACUAAUUGAGUUUUGAGUGUUCUAUUAGUUCUUUCAACUAUGGCCUGUCCUUGGGAAUUAUAAGGAAUUCCUGUUGUAUGUGAAAUUUUCCACUGACUUAAGAAUUUUUGGAAAGCUUUACUACAGUAUCCUGCCCCAUUGUCAGUUUUAAUUUUUUCUGGAACUCUCAUUACAGCAAAACAAGGUAAUAAAUGUUUUUUAACAUGGGAAGUACUUUCUCCUGUCUGGCAGGUUGCCCAUAUGAAAUGUGAAUAAGUAUCAACUGUUACAUGAACAUAUAAUAAUCUUCCAAAUGAAGGUACAUGCGUGACAUCCAUUUGCCGUAAUGCAUUAGGACACAGACCCCUGGGAUUAACUCCUGCCUCUUGAGUGGGCAGGUGUAGGACUUGACACUGGGUGCAAUGUCGUACAAUAUCUUUUGCCUGUUUCCAUGUGACAUCAAAUUUGUUUUUUAAUCCUGCUGCAUUUACAUGAGUCAAAGCAUGAAAUUUUUGUGCUUUUAUGAAUGCAGAUGAUACCAGUAAGUCAGCUGGUUCAUUUGCUUUAGUCAAAGGCCCUGGUAAAUUAGUGUGUGCUCGAAUAUGAGUAAUAUAAAAUGGGAAAUUUCUUUUUCUUACAGUUUGUUGUAAUAAAUUGAAUAGCUGGUUUAACUGAUCAUCCAUGCUAUAUUUAAUUAGAGCUGUCUUUACAUCCCUUGUAGCCUGUACUACAUAUGCAGAAUCUGAUACAAUAUUGAUAGGUUGAUCAAAAUCUUGUAACACUGUAAUGACUGCAACCAACUCUGCCCUUCGAGCCAAUUGAUAUUGAGUUUUGAUUACUUGCUCUUUUGGCCCUGUGUAAGCCGCUUUUCCAUUGCUGGAACCAUCAGUAAACACUGUCAGAGCAUUUUCUAAAGGUUCACGUCUGGUAAUUUUAGGUAGAAUCCAAGUAGUUAAUUUUAAAAACUGGAAGAUUUUUGUUUUUGGGUAAUGAUGAUCAAUAAUUCCCACAAAAUUAGCAAGACCAAUCUGCCAUGCACCAGAAUUGAUAAAGGCUUGUCUAACUUGUUCCUUGGUUCAAGGGACAACUAUUUUGUCUGGGUCAUUUACACACAAUUUUAUUAUUUGUAAUCUUGCCUGACCAAUUAAUGUAGCUAUUUGAUCCAAGUACAAUGUAAAAGUCUUAAUUGUACUGUGAGGAAGGAAUGACCACUCCACAAGAUCAGUAUUUUGAACAGUGAUGCCUGUUGGAGAAUGUGCAGUAGCAAAAACCAAAAGUUGGAGUGGGGCUAAGGGAUCUAUUCUAUUUAUUUGCACUGACUGAAUUUUUUGUUCCACUAAUUUAAUUUCUUUUAUUGCCUCUGGGGUUAAUAUUCUCUUACUAUUUAAGUCUGAGUCUCCUCUUAAGAUAGAGAACCAAUUUUCGAAGCAUCAAAAGCCCAUUUAAAUUUGGUACCAGAAACUGAGGCAAUCGCAGGAGUGACUGAUGGCCUCGCAAAUCUUAACCCUGUCACUUGGGUUAAGACCAUCGGAAGUACUACUAUUAUAAAUUUCGUAUUAAUCCUUGUGUGCCUGUUUUAUCUGUUGUUAGUCUGCAGGUGUACCCAGCAGCUCCGAAGAGACAGCGACCAUCGAGAACAAGCCAUGAUGAUGAUGGUGGUUUGUCGAAAAGGAAAUGGGGAAAUGUGGGGAAAAGAGAGAUCAGACUGUUACUGUGUCUGUGUAGAAAGAAGUAGACAUAAGAGACUCCAUUUUGUUCUGUACUAAGAAAAAUUAUUCUGCCUUGAGAUGCUGUUAAUCUGUAACCCUACCCCCAACCCUGUGCUCCCUGAAACACGUGCUGUGUCAACUCAGGGUUAAAUGGAUUAAGGGCUGUGCAGGAUGUGCUUUGUUAAACAAAUGCUUGAAGGCAGCAUGCUUGUUAAGAGUCAUCAUCACUCCCUAAUCUCAAGUACCCAGAGACAAUACGCUGCGGAAGGCCGCAGGGACCUCUGCCUAGGAAAGCCAGGUAUUGUCCAAGGUUUCUCCCCAUGUGAUAGUCUGAAAUAUGCUGGCCGGGAAAGACCUGACCGUCCCCCAGCCCAACACCCGUAAAGGGUCUGUGCUGAGGAGGAUUAGUAAAAGAGGAAGGAAGGCCUCUUUGCAGUUGAGAUAAGAGGAAGGCAUCUGUCUCCUGCUCGUCCCUGGGCAAUGGGAUGUCUCGGUGUAAAACCCGAUUGUAUGUUCCAUCUACUGAGAUGGGGAAAACCGCCUUAGGGCUGGAUGUGGGACAUGCUGGCAGCAAUACUGCUCUUUAAGGCAUUGAGAUGUUUAUGUGUAUGCACAUCAAAAGCACAGCACUUUUUUCUUUACCUUGUUUAUGAUGCGGAGACGUUUGUUCACAUGUUUUCCUGCUGACCUUCUCUCCACUAUUACCCUAUUGUCCUGCCACAUCCCCCUCUCCGAGAAACGCCCAAUAAUGAUCAAUAAAUACUGAGGGAACUCAGAGACUGGUGCCGGUGCGGGUCCACUGUAUGCUGAGCGCCACUUCCCUAAGCCCACUUUUCUUUCUCUAUACUUUGUCUCUGUGUCUCCUUCUUUUCUUAAGUCUCUCAUUCCACCUGACAAGAAAUGCCCACAAGUGUGGAGGGGCAGGCCACCCCUUCACUCAGCCUCCUGAGUAGCUGGGAUUGCAGGUGCGCGCCACCAUGUCUGGCUAAUUUUUGUGUUUUUAGUAGAGGCGGGGUUUCACCCUGUUGGCCAGGUUGGUCUUGAACUCCUGACCUCAGGUGAUCCACCCAUCUGGGCCUCCCAAAGUUCUGAGAUUACAGGCAUGAGUCACCGUGCCCAGCCCAUUUAUCCUUGAUAUAGCUAAAUUACUGAGCAUUAGGAAGGGUGGAACUUUCAGCCUGUAAAAUAUGAGUGAGGUUUCACAAAAACUAGCACAAUGUCUGGGGCCCAGAUUAUUCUAUUUGUGACUGGGCGGGAAGAGGUAUAUAUAUAGUAAUUUUUGUAUUUUUAGUAGAGACGGGGUUUCACCAUGUUGGCCAGGCUGGUCUUGAACUCCUGACGUUAAGUGAUCCAUCUGCCUCCCAAAGUGCUGGGAUUACAGGUGUGAGCCACCACUUUGGGCCAUAGAUCGGGUGAUUGGGGGAAGACCUGAGGUAUCUGAGCAGAAAUCUGGUUGGGGAGUGAGCCAACAGUUAUCUGGAGGGAAACUGGUUCAGGCAGAGGGAAGAGCAAAUCCAAAGCUCCUAAAGCAAAAGCAUAUUUUUGGUGUAUUUGAGAAACAGCAAGAAGGUCAAUGUAGCUAAGAGCCGGAAUAAGAGAAGAGAUGCAGGCAGGGAUGAGAUUGUUUUUGGCUUCUUAGGUCAUGGUAAGAACUUGGAUUUUAUUUUUUGUGUAAUGGGCACCCAUCAGAUGGUGUUGAGGAGGGGACUGACACAAAAUCAUUUAGGUAUUAAACUGAUCCUUCCGCUGCUCCAUGGGGACCCAGAGUGGAAGUAGUAGCAGGAAACCAAUUAGGCUUUUACAAUAGUUCAGGUAAGAGAUGACAGUGACUUGGACUAGGGUGUAGUAGCUAUGGAGAUGGUUGAAAAUGGCUAGAUGUGGGAUCUAUUUUAAAGGUACCACCAACAGCAUUUGCAGACUCAAGGAUGAUUUCAAAGUUUUGGGUCUGAGCAACUAGGUGAAUGAUAACAUUGUUUACUGAGACGGGGAGGCCUUAAGUAGAAGGUUUAGGAGGGAAAAUAUAGAUUUUGCUAUGGAC
rnacentral:lncRNA from 1 species